UGGGCCCUAAGCGUGGUGGUGUCCAUAGAGGGACUAGACAGUCGUCCCGACAAAGGGGACAGGAUCCCCAGCUCAGGCAGGAGUAAGUUCCUGUUCCUGCACCGGUACCUGAACCGGUAGAGCAAUCUGUUGUUGGAGGCCCGUCAGGAGCCGUACCUGCUGUGCCUACUAUGCAGGGAGAUCCCAACUUCCAGCAAACUUUGGAGUUGCUAACUCAGGCUUUAGCCAGGACUGGG
rnacentral:lncRNA from 1 species